rnacentral:rRNA from 1 species
AAGACCUUGCGCUUUUGGAGCGGCCGAUGUCUGAUUAGCUAGUUGGUGGGGUAAAGGCCUACCAAGGCGACGAUCAGUAGUUGGUCUGAGAGGACGACCAGCCACACUGGGACUGAGACACGGCCCAGACUCCUACGGGAGGCAGCAGUGGGGAAUUUUGGACAAUGGGCGCAAGCCUGAUCCAGCAAUGCCGCGUGAGUGAAGAAGGCCUUCGGGUUGUAAAGCUCUUUCAGUCGAGAAGAAAAGGCUGUGGUAAAUAAUCACAGUUCAUGACGGUAUCGACAGAAGAAGCACCGGCUAACUACGUGCCAGCAGCCGCGGUAAUACGUAGGGUGCAAGCGUUAAUCGGAAUUACUGGGCGUAAAGGGUGCGCAGGCGGUUUUGUAAGUCAGAUGUGAAAUCCCCGGGCUUAACCUGGGAAUU